GAUGAACGCUGGCGGCGUGCCUAAUACAUGCAAGUCGAGCGAACAGACGAGGAGCUUGCUCCUCUGACGUUAGCGGCGGACGGGUGAGUAACACGUGGAUAACCUACCUAUAAGACUGGGAUAACUUCGGGAAACCGGAGCUAAUACCGGAUAAUAUAUUGAACCGCAUGGUUCAAUAGUGAAAGACGGUUUUGCUGUCACUUAUAGAUGGAUCCGCGCCGCAUUAGCUAGUUGGUAAGGUAACGGCUUACCAAGGCAACGAUGCGUAGCCGACCUGAGAGGGUGGUCCGCCCACCUGGAACUUGGGCACGGUCCAGGCUCCCAAGGGAGGCCGCAGUAGGGAAUCUUCCGCCAAGGGCGAAAGCCUGACGGAGCAACGCCGCGUGAGUGAUGAAGGUCUUCGGAUCGUAAAACUCUGUUAUUAGGGAAGAACCAAUGUGUAAGUAACUAUGCACGUCUUGACGGUACCUAAUCAGAAAGCCACGGCUAACUACGUG
rnacentral:rRNA from 1 species